rnacentral:rRNA from 1 species
CUCACCAAGGCGACGAUGCGUAGCCGACCUGAGAGGGUGAUCGGCCACACUGGGACUGAGACACGGCCCAGACUCCUACGGGAGGCAGCAGUAGGGAAUCUUCCGCAAUGGACGAAAGUCUGACGGAGCAACGCCGCGUGAGUGAUGAAGGUUUUCGGAUCGUAAAGCUCUGUUGUUAGGGAAGAACAAGUGCAAGAGUAACUGCUUGCACCUUGACGGUACCUAACCAGAAAGCCACGGCUAACUACGUGCCAGCAGCCGCGGUAAUACGUAGGUGGCAAGCGUUGUCCGGAAUUAUUGGGCGUAAAGGGCUCGCAGGCGGUUUCUUAAGUCUGAUGUGAAAGCCCCCGGCUCAACCGGGGAGGGUCAUUGGAAACUGGGAAACUUGAGUGCAGAAGAGGAGAGUGGAAUUCCACGUGUAGCGGUGAAAUGCGUAGAGAUGUGGAGGAACACCAGUGGCGAAGGCGACUCUCUGGUCUGUAACUGACGCUGAGGAGCGAAAGCGUGGGGAGCGAACAGGAUUAGAUACCCUGGUAGUCCACGCCGUAAACGAUGAGUGCUAAGUGUUAGGGGGUUUCCGCCCCUUAGUGCUGCAGCUAACGCAUUAAGCACUCCGCCUGGGGAGUACGGUCGCAAGACUGAAACUCAAAGGAAUUGACGGGGGCCCGCACAAGCGGUGGAGCAUGUGGUUUAAUUCGAAGCAACGCGAAGAACCUUACCAGGUCUUGACAUCCUCUGACAACCCUAGAGAUAGGGCUUUCCCUUCGGGGACAGAGUGACAGGUGGUGCAUGGUUGUCGUCAGCUCGUGUCGUGAGAUGUUGGGUUAAGUCCCGCAACGAGCGCAACCCUUGAUCUUAGUUGCCAGCAUUCAGUUGGGCACUCUAAGGUGACUGCCGGUGACAAACCGGAGGAAGGUGGGGAUGACGUCAAAUCAUCAUGCCCCUUAUGACCUGGGCUACACACGUGCUACAAUGGACAGAACAAAGGGCUGCGAGACCGCAAGGUUUAGCCAAUCCCACAAAUCUGUUCUCAGUUCGGAUCGCAGUCUGCAACUCGACUGCGUGAA